rnacentral:rRNA from 1 species
GACGAACGCUAGCGGCGGGCUUAACACAUGCAAGUCGAGGGGAAAGACGCGGCUUGCGUGGGGUGCUCGAGGGGCGAACGGGCGCGGGAGACGAGAGUAAACUGCCCCUGCCUUUGGGAUAACUUCAGGAAACUGGGGCUAAGACCGGAUAGGAGCGCCUGCUGCAGGGGGGGGGUGGGAAAGAUUCGGCGGUUGGGGGUGGGCGCGCGGCUUAUGAGCGAGUGGGUGGGGUAGGGGCUUACCAAGGCUUCGGCGGGUAGCCGGCCUGAGAGGGUGACCGGCCCCAUUGGGACUGAGCUACGGCCCGGACUCCUACGGGAUGCAGCAGUGGGGAAUAUUGCCUGAUGGGCGGAAGCCUGAUGCAGCAACGCCGCGUGCGGGAUUGCGGCCUUCUGGUUGUCGACCGCUUUCUCCUGUGCCGGAGCGUGAGUGACGGUAAUGGGUGAAUAAGCACCGGCUAACUCCGUG